UACGUAGGGGGCAAGCGUUGUCCGGAAUCAUUGGGCGUAAAGAGCGUGUAGGCGGUCCGGUAAGUCGGCUGUGAAAGUCCAGGGCUCAACCCUGGGAUGCCGGUCGAUACUGCCGGACUAGAGUUCGGAAGAGGCGAGUGGAAUUCCUGGUGUAGCGGUGAAAUGCGCAGAUAUCAGGAGGAACACCAAUGGCGAAGGCAGCUCGCUGGGACGUGACUGACGCUGAGACGCGAAAGCGUGGGGGAGCAAACAGG
rnacentral:rRNA from 1 species